UAGGGAAUCUUCGGCAAUGGACGGAAGUCUGACCGAGCAACGCCGCGUGAGUGAAGAAGGUUUUCGGAUCGUAAAGCUCUGUUGUAAGAGAAGAACGAGUGUGAGAGUGGAAAGUUCACACUGUGACGGUAUCUUACCAGAAAGGGACGGCUAACUACGUGCCAGCAGCCGCGGUAAUACGUAGGUCCCGAGCGUUGUCCGGAUUUAUUGGGCGUAAAGCGAGCGCAGGCGGUUAGAUAAGUCUGAAGUUAAAGGCUGUGGCUUAACCAUAGUACGCUUUGGAAACUGUUUAACUUGAGUGCAAGAGGGGAGAGUGGAAUUCCAUGUGUAGCGGUAAAAUGCGUAGAUAUAUGGAGGAACACCGGUGGCGAAAGCGGCUCUCUGGCUUGUAACUGACGCUGAGGCUCGAAAGCGUGGGGAGCAAACAGGAUUAGAUACCCUGGUAGUCCACGCCGUAAACGAUGAGUGCUAGGUGUUAGACCCUUUCCGGGGUUUAGUGCCGUAGCUAACGCAUUAAGCACUCCGCCUGGGGAGUACGACCGCAAGGUUG
rnacentral:rRNA from 1 species